AAGGGACGUAAGGCACAAAAAGAGC
rnacentral:tRNA from 1 species